GAAACGUUUUAACAACCACAAAAGUAGCAUGAAUAGAUAUGGGAGAGGUGAAAGGGGUAUGGCAGGCGAGCAUUUGUAUGCUCAUUUUUUUUAUCAAGGUCAUAAUGGUAUGCAAGAUGUGAAAGUUAAAAUUAUUGAUAAAACUAAUGUUGCAUGUCCCACACAAAGAGAAGGUUUUUGGGCAUAUAAACUGAAUUCGUUUGAACCGCAUGGGUUGAAUUUAAAAGACUUUGUUUGAACAAUAGAGUUAAUCA